UACGGAGGGUGCGAGCGUUGUCCGGAAUCAUUGGGCGUAAAGCGCACGUAGGCGGUCUUUUAAGUCUCUUGGUGAAAGGCUGGGGCUCAACCCCAUGCAUGCCGGGGAUACUGGGAGACUGGAGACAGGCAGAGGCCAGCGGAAUUCCGGGUGUAGCGGUGGAAUGCGUAGAGAUCCGGAAGAACACCGGAGGCGAAGGCGGCUGGCUGGGCCUGAUCUGACGCUGAGGUGCGAAAGCGUGGGGAGCGAACAGG
rnacentral:rRNA from 1 species